GACGAACGCUGGCGGCGUGCUUAACACAUGCAAGUCGAGCGAACAGGUCCUGCGCGGGACUCUAGCGCGGAACGGGUGAAUAAGACAGGAGUAACUGGACACAGACCCUGGGAUAACGCUCUAAAAUCGGGAAUCAGAACCUAUACCCGGCAGAUUUACUUAAGCUCUGUGUUGAAAGGUGUGCGGCGUGGGAUGGGCCCGCGGCCUAUCAGCUUGUUGGUGGGUUGCUGGCUUGCCAAGGCGACGCCUGCUAGCCCACCUGUGCGUGCGACCGGCCACACGGCGCCUGCGACACGGCGCAGUCUCCUACGGGAGGCAGCAGUGGGGAAUAUUGCACAAUGGGCGGAAGCCUGAUGCAGCGACGCCGGGUGAGUGAUGACGGCCUUCGGGUUGUAAACCUCUUUCAGCAGGGACGAAGCGUAAGUGACGGUACCUGCAGAAGAAGCGCCGGCCAACUACGUG
rnacentral:rRNA from 1 species